rnacentral:rRNA from 1 species
GAUGAACGCUGGCGGCGUGCCUAAUACAUGCAAGUCGAGCGAACGGACGAGAAGCUUGCUUCUCUGAUGUUAGCGGCGGACGGGUGAGUAACACGUGGAUAACCUACCUAUAAGACUGGGAUAACUUCGGGAAACCGGAGCUAAUACCGGAUAAUAUUUUGAACCGCAUGGUUCAAAAGUGAAAGACGGUCUUGCUGUCACUUAUAGAUGGAUCCGCGCUGCAUUAGCUAGUUGGUAAGGUAACGGCUUACCAAGGCAACGAUGCAUAGCCGACCUGAGAGGGUGGACGGCCAAACUGGAACUGAGGAAAGGGCCAGAAUCCUAAGGGAAGAAGCAGUUGGGAAUCUUCCGCAAUGGGCGAAAGCCUGACGGAGCAACGCCGCGUGAGUGAUGAAGGUCUUCGGAUCGUAAAACUCUGUUAUUAGGGAAGAACAUAUGUGUAAGUAACUGUGCACAUCUUGACGGUACCUAAUCAGAAAGCCACGGCUAACUACGUG